UACGGAGGAUGCGAGUGUUAUCCGGAUUUAUUGGGUUUAAAGGGUGCGUAGGCGGACUGUCAAGUCAGCGGUAAAAUUGAGAGGCUCAACCUCUUCCCGCCGUUGAAACUGGUGGUCUUGAGUGGAUGAGAAGUACGCGGAAUGCGUGGUGUAGCGGUGAAAUGCAUAGAUAUCACGCAGAACUCCGAUUGCGAAGGCAGCGUACCGGCAUCCAACUGACGCUGAGGCACGAAAGCGUGGGGAUCAAACAGG
rnacentral:rRNA from 1 species